rnacentral:lncRNA from 1 species
CUUUUAAGAUCUUUAAAUAUCUUUUCCAUCUUUUGUCCAUGUUUAUGGACCAAUGUCCCCUUUGCCAUUUUGGCAUUCAUUAGACAACAAACAUUUGAGAAUCGUACAUUACUAGUCUCAAUGUCAUGCAUCUUAUGCAAACUUUCAACCAUGGCACAAGAAGUGUCCAUGUGCUUAUGUAGCUUCAUAAGCUCCUCACUAAGUGAAGUAAGGAUUAAGCAUUUGGCUUGUAAAUCAUCCUCAUAGUGUCUAACAUAAUUUUGACACUCCUCCUUUGAAGCUAGUUUCGUAGGAGGUAUAUGAGGAGGGGAUUGCUUAAGCACAUACAAUAUGUCUUUCACCUUUGAGACAUUCUCAAUGUGGCUAUACCAAGCAAGGAAACGUUGGCCCUUAAGGCCCCUUUUGUCAAGUAUCUGGUGUGUAUAAUUUUAGGCAUGUCGUUAACUACAUAACAUAACAGAAAUCGUAUUAGAUUGUUUGUUUAAAACUAUUUGAUUGGGUCUUUGAAUCAAAUAGUACCACCCACUAUUUUUGGCAAAUUCCACAUCCCUCAAUAGAAUUCAAGAGUUAUAUUGAACUCUUAGCGGGGUAUGGGAGACUCACCAUUACCAAGCCCACCUCACGAUGAUACGAUGUUGGCUAGCAAAAAUAAUGAUGAGAGAAUAACGCAUUAUUUAUUUACAACCUUUUGUAAUUACCCAUCCGUUUCGCCUCUAGAGAAUGUUGCCUCAAGAUGAUAC